rnacentral:rRNA from 1 species
CACCUACGGGAGGCAGCAGUCGAGAAUCAUUCACAAUGGGGGAAACCCUGAUGGUGCGACGCCGCGUGGGGGAAUGAAGGUCUUCGGAUUGUAAACCCCUGUCAUGUGGGAGCAAAUUAAAAAGAUAGUACCACAAGAGGAAGAGACGGCUAACUCUGUGCCAGCAGCCGCGGUAAUACAGAGGUCUCAAGCGUUGUUCGGAAUCACUGGGCGUAAAGCGUGCGUAGGCAGUUUCGUAAGGCGUGUGUGAAAGGCGCGGGCUCAACCGGCGGCCGGCACAUGAUACCGCGCGACUUG